rnacentral:lncRNA from 1 species
CAAAAUAAGGAUUACAACUACCGGUUACUGGGUAGAAUACCAAAAGAAGAGAAUAUUUGUCAUCAGUUAGAAUGAACAUAUCAAGGAUAAACUCAAAGGGGAAGAAGAAAUCUGUCAUCGGUUAGGAUGAACAUGUCAAGGAUAUACUUUCGGGGAGACGUGAAAACGAAUCUGCUGGGGGAACAAGGUUACCUUUGUCGGGUAUUGGGAAGAAGUGACAAACAUGAG